UGUGUAAGCGAAGCGAUAUGUGGAGCGGUGAAAGGCUCAGUAACGGGCGAUUUAUUUGAUCUCCUGGGACGGACAACAUCGGGAAACUGAUGGGAAAACGUCUAAGUUGCAGUUUUUUGAUUGUGACGUAAACCUUUGUGUGCAGGAGAGUAAGAUGCCAUCCUAUCAGUUAGUAAGUAGGGUAAGGGCCUACUUAGACGAAGACGGGUACGGGGAAUGAGGGUUUGAUUCCGGAGAGGGAGCCUGAGAGAUGGCUACCAGGACCAAGGUCAGCAGCAGGCGCGAAAAUUAUCGAAGCCCGCCUAGGGGCGAUAGUGAGGAGACGUGUAUACGAAGUACGUGUAAAGACCGUACUAAUAACUGGAGGUCAAGUCUGGUGCCAGCAUCCGCGGUAAUUCCAGCUCCAGGGGUGUCUAUGAUGAUUGCUGCGAUUAAAAAGUCCGUAGUCGAGCUGACUGACUGACCUGCAAUGUGAUUGAUUAAAGAACGAGCAGGGUUAGGAAAGCAGAGAAUUAGGAGCGACCGAGGGCUAGAGUAUUGAAUGGCGAGAGGUGAAAUUUGAUGACCCAUUCAGGAGUGACAAAGGCGAAGGCACUAGUCAAGGGCGAAUCCGAUGAUCAAGGACGUAGGCUAGAGUUUCGAAAACGAUUAGAGACCGGAGUAGUUCUAGCAGUAAACUAUGCCGACACCGUGGUAUUAAUUUUUAGUAUUGCGGAAGAGAAAUCAAGUAAGGCUUUGGGGAGAGUACGCGCGCAAGCGAUAAAUUUAAAGGAAAUUGACGGAGGAACACCACAAGGAGUG
rnacentral:rRNA from 1 species